AGGAAAAACAAACAACCACCGCUUGGUUUUGACACUCAAGCGACCCGCCCUGCUAAACAUCGAUGCAAAGGUUAGAUUUCAUCCCCUCUAUCUCCAAGCCCCUUUACUAGGUUGGGCAAGCUUGGAUGCCCCUACUCACAACAAGUUGCUGGUCGGGAUCGUGGAACUAUCGCUCGAGAAGUAAGUAAGCUGGUCCUUGUUUGGUCAUAAGGAUAAUCGUUCUUAUUAGGUCUGGGGC
rnacentral:lncRNA from 1 species